rnacentral:lncRNA from 1 species
AUGGGCAAAGAUUUCUUCCAGCUGCAGGACCAGAAAAGGCACAGUGAAGUAUUUCUCCAGAGCCGGGGCCCGGCGGCGACGCGGUUAGCAGGGAUGAGGGCAGCGGGGCCUCAUGGCGCCGAAGGUCUCGGGGGGGACAGGCGCGCCCUGGCCUGGCAACGGCGAACUUCUCGGGCCCUUCUGAAAGCGGGACUCGGACUUGCUGGCGCCGCUUGACUGCCCGCGCGGUGGUGUGAAAUGGUGCAAAGGAACACGCUGGCGAACACCAGACAUGAAGCACUGUUCCCUUUAAUAUUUAUUUUG